rnacentral:rRNA from 1 species
CCUACGGGAGGCAGCAGUGAGGAAUAUUGGUCAAUGGACGUAAGUCUGAACCAGCCAAGUCGCGUGCAGGAAGAAGGCUCUAUGAGUUGUAAACUUCUUUUGUACGAGGGUAAACGUAUACACGUGUAUCUGUUUGCAUGUACCCUAUGAAUAAGGAUCGGCUAACUCCGUGCCAGCAGCCGCGGUAAUACGGAGGAUUCUAGCGUUAUCCGGAUUUAUUGGGUUUAAAGGGUGCGUAGGUUGUUUGUUAAGUCAGCGGUGAAAGUUUGUGGCUCAACCACAAAAUUGCCGUUGAAACUGGAAGACUUGAGUGUGUUUGAGGUAGGCGGAAUGCGUGGUGUAGCGGUGAAAUGCAUAGAGAUCAUGCAGAACUCCGAUUGCGAAGGCAGCUUACCAAGCCACAACUGACACUGAAGCACGAAAGCGUGGGGAUCAAACAGGAUUAGAUACCCGGGUAGUC